AGCCAGGCAGUCCGGUCUACUCCCAUGGCUGCAGCCCUCGAGUGCUGGUCUAGCCGAGCAACCACCGACGAUGACAUGGUGGAGCAGGUCCUGAUGCGGACCAACGACAGAUCCGAGGAGAGCUCUUCCUCCUCUGCUUCAGCCAAAGCCGAAGCGCAAUCCGCCAUGCACAAACGAUUUCAGAGGCUCAGCAGGAACGUCUCCGAAGCCAUCGCCUCCCUCAAGAACUCGCUUAACCUCGACUCCUCCCAACGUGAUCAGCACCUGCCCCCUCCUGUUUCUGUCCAUUCUGCGUCCUCCAAGGUCGAGACUUGCCGAAAAGUGGUAUGGGGUACAGUUGUACGGAACUUGACACAGCUUUAUCCUGGAAGUCAGUUGCCUGAGAAGCUUGUCUCCAAUAUCAGGAAGCAUUAUGAUUCCUUGCCUCUCAGUUAUGCACAAGCGGGCUUUGAUAUGAAAGAAGUGUUUCUACAUAUAAAAUUGAUAGAGCAGGCAUCAGGGGAUGAUCACCCUGCAAUAUUCAUUCAACAAGUGUCUGAGGAUGAGAUAUUUGAGAAGAAAGGCUUUACCCUUGGAAUCAUUCUGUUCUUGGUUCAACCCGCUCAAGACAAGUUAUUUAAAUCCCACAUCGAGAAUGCCCUCAAAUCUGCUAUCAAGAAACCCAAAAUGACCACUGUGAAGCUACCAUUUGGGCUUUGCGGGUGUCAGGAGGAGAAUACUAAAGGGAGAGACUUUGGGGAAAUUGAAGAAGACGCAAUUGAGCAGACUCAUAGAAAUGGGAUUGAAAAUCCAAAUACAAAGAUUCAGCUUCAAAUGCCUCUGCCCACUUCGUCGUUUGUUGUAUUGGUUGAUGAAUGGCAAACCAUCCAAUCAGGUGGGGACGAGAUUGGAAAAUGGCUCUUAAACUCUGACAAUCUGGAGUUUGUCGAUCAGAUUGGACCCAACUCGUUUAAAGGUGUUUACAAGGGUAAACGUGUUGGAAUUGAAAAGCUCAAAGGAUGUGACAAGGGGAAUUCUUAUGAGUUUGAACUUCGAAAAGAUCUCUUAGAGCUGAUGACUUGUGGGCAUAGGAACAUUUUGCAGUUUUAUGGUGUUUGUGUUGAUGAAAAUAAUGGUUUGUGUGUUGUGACCAAGUUGAUGGAAGGUGGAUCAGUCCAUGAUUUGAUGCUAAAGAACAAGAAGCUUCAGAUUAAGGAGAUAAUAAGAAUUGCUGCUGAUGUAGCAGAAGGGGUCAAGUUUAUGAAUGAUCAUGGUGUUGCAUACAGAGACCUCAACACACAGAGGAUUCUGCUAGAUAAACAUGGUAAUGCUUGCUUGGGGGACAUGGGUAUAGUCACAGCUUGCAAGAGUGUUGGCGAGGCAAUGGAGUAUGAAACUGAUGGUUACCGUUGGCUAGCUCCUGAGAUCAUUGCUGGGGACCCAGAGAAUGUUACUGAGACAUGGAUGAGUAAUUCCUAUAGUUUUGGGAUGGUGAUUUGGGAGAUGGUGACUGGUGAGGCAGCCUAUUCUGCAUGUUCACCAGUGCAAGCAGCAGUAGGAAUAGCUGCUUGUGGCCUAAGGCCUGAUAUCCCUAAGGACUGCCCACAAAUCCUCAAAUCUCUGAUGACCAAGUGCUGGAAUAAUUGCCCAUCAAAGCGACCUCAAUUCUCUGAAAUUUUAUCACUGUUGCUGCGGCCCAAUAACAAUAGCAAACACUUAUAGGUAAAAUAUACUUCAAAAUAAUUCAUGAAAUGUAAUCCAUUCAUGCUAAAAGUGUGUUAAAGAAGGCUUCAUAUGGUGUCUUGCUACCAUGCAUGACUGUAGAUUUGGAAGUUCCUACAGCAGAAAAGAAGACAUAAGUAUAACUAUAUGUCUUCUCUUUUGCCAACUUAAGCAUAUCAUUUUUCUUUCACCAUUUCAAAUCAAUCUUUUUAAUUUGGCAGCCAAAGAAGAAAAUUAAAUAAAAAAAAAUGUUUCAUUACUGAUUUCGUGGAAUGCCUUGCCAUCAUAUGCAUGUUGCAUAAGAGCAUUUAUGAUGGACUUGUGAGUGGUGCGAUUAUUUAAAUGACUAGGCAUUUUAUGUUGGUUGCAAAAGGCUAGGAUUAAUUGUUUGAAAAAGGGGAAAAGCAGAAGGAAAGGAGAUUUUCUGAGGCCUUGUGUGCCCUACUGUUUCUUGUGGAUUAGGGAAUAAUUGUAUCUUAAGUUUUAUUUUGUCUCUGUGGUUGCUGGUUGAGGGACCCAAAAGUGCUCAUCUUGUCUUUUUGUCUCAGAAAAGGUGAGAAUCAUCAAAUACCCCAAUGUUUCCACCGAUGGGAAAAGUAGUAUUAUGGAAUUCCACGUGGAAGUUGGCUUUAAAUUCCUACACGUGCCAAUGAUUUGAGAUGAUAGUUAAUUAAUGAAAAAAAAAACCCUUCUCAAGGGAUUUGUAUAGCAAACCUAGUUCAGCAUUGAACAAUUCAUCAGAUGAGCAUUUUCAGUCAUCUCAAGUGCUGGUUGUUAUUGGUGGAAUUCACUGUGAUGGAUGGUGAAGAUCCUGCUAUAUACAUCUCUUCAAAUGCUCUGCUAAAUUUGAGUUCAUAAACUGGAAUGGAAAGAUUUUUUUGAUGUGCUUGUCUUGUUUGACUAUUAUCACAUUAAUAACGCAUGACUGCCUUUUCUUUACUUCUUCCCUUGUCUACCAAAUGAAGAAUGGAUGUAUUUGUUUUUCAUUUUCUUUAGUUUGGUUAAUUUUUAUAUUUAUUGUAAGCCUUAUCAUUGUCCACAUGAUCCUGGACGAGUUGAAGUUCUGAGAAAAGAUCCCAAGUGAGCAAUCUUCUUAAAAUCAGUUGAUACCAAAAAAAGAAAUUAUAGUAAUUGAAAAAGAGAGAAAACCUUAAGCUAGAAGCUUGCAUGGUGGGGAUGUUUUAAUUUAUGGGUUUGGGUUGAGGAAUUACAGGGCAGGCAGUCAGUCAGGUAUGAGCGCCCUGCAUUUUAAUCUGGUUUUUAAACCGUCACCCAGCAGUGUAACACUUACUGAUUCUUUGCUUCAACUGCACAAAAAGCAGCACAACUCAAAUUGAACAGCAUGAAAGCAAUUCAAGCCAAAAAAGAAAAAAAGAUUGUUGGAGGCUGGAGGCAGAAAUCAAUUGUGAAGAUGUUACAGAGCAUCAUUUUCAGCCAGAACACCAAGGCCAGCAAAGUAAAGAAGUGCUUUGUCAUAUGCCGUUUGUUCUUUUGGAUAUCUCCAUCUUGGCAGCCAACUAUUAACUUCAUUUGGCUGGCUACUUAAUCGUAUCAUACUCAUCUUGGCCCUGCCACACAUACUGAGCUUGGAACAAAUGACAGAAAACUAGAGGAAUGCUAGUAAACAGGGCAUUUCUGCUGAGACAAGUAUUUGCUCACUAUACUUGCUUAGGCACCCCAAUCAAGAUAAUAUUCAAACAUUCAGUUACCACUUACUACAGGGACUGAUUUCUUGUAAUUUUUUUAUGCGUAUUGUUGGAUUAUUUAUGCAUGAAGCUUACUGUUGAAUCGUCAACUUGUUUCAGUUUAGUCCUAUGUUUUCCACUUCCAUUAAACCGUGGAAGUUGUUACCUGCAUUCAUGCAUAAAAGAUUGACAAUAGUCUAUUUAGAGAUAUGGUAUAGAAGGCGAGAAAUGCGGCGGGAAUUUUUUGUGGAUGAGCAGCAGUAUAAGAUUGUAAAGGUGGACGACAGCCUUGUCAACACUGUUCCGCAAACAGUGAGGAUUGGCUUGGAGGUUGUGGAUCAAAAACUCCAGCUUGCCUGCAUCUAGAAGAUGCAUGACGUUUUCUUAAUUAGAGAAGUUGAAACUGCUAUGUGGACCCUUCAUUGGCUUAGAAGGUUGUUAAUAUAGUUGUUAUUUUAAAUCAAUAUGGUUUGAGUUGUAAGUUUUGGGUGCUGAUGCUGUAAUAUUC